AUUACGAUGAUAAAAUUGUUCGCAUCACGUCUGUAGUUAUUAUUAUUGUUGUUAUUUUGUGAUUGUGAGUUUUGCCUAAUGUACGGACGAAAACCUAAUCUCUCAUGCACCGGUCUACGAAAGUUGUUCACUUGCCCAGAAGAACGAAAAUUACGUUGUUGUGGAGAAUAUUGAUCGAUAAACCCGACAGGAAGAUUAUAAUAAUUGAAGUUGUUGUUGUUAUUGUUCAAUGCAUGCGCGUUAUCCCUGGCUAUAUUCCACGUCGUAAUUAAUUUAUCCAUUUUAUCUAACGUUAAACCUUCCUCCUUCAACAACAUUUCCUUCAACCGAUCAUCCCUUAAGCCCGCCAAAAUGCGGUCUUGGAUGGCCACAUCACGAAAGGCACCGAAACCACAGAAAUCCGCCUGCAGUUUGACGGCCUGUACAAAUUCUUCUGCCGUUUCGUCAGGCUGCUGAUUACGCAGACUCAACCGGAAUCUUUGAACAAGAAUCUGUCACGUCAUUACCGUCGAAUGUAUAUUUCAGACGGCAAAUCCAGUCCGAAAACGAAGAACCCUUGCGGAACGGCUCGAUGGAUGAAACCAUUCCUCCUUGGCUCAUUUCAACAAACUUCAAUCAAUAGUUUUUUAAAAAA